rnacentral:rRNA from 1 species
AUUGAACGCUGGCGGCAUGCCUUACACAUGCAAGUCGAACGGCAGCACGGGUGCUUGCACCUGGCGGCGAGUGGCGAACGGGUGAGUAAUACAUCGGAACGUACCUUAUCGUGGGGGAUAACGCAGCGAAAGUUGCGCUAAUACCGCAUACGCCCUGAGGGGGAAAGCGGGGGACCGUAAGGCCUCGCGCGAUUAGAGCGGCCGAUGUCUGAUUAGCGUGUUGGUGAGGUAAAAGCUCACCAAGGCGAUGAUCAGUAGCUGGUCUGAGAGGACGAGCAGCCACACUGGGACUGAGACACGGACCAGACUCCUCCGGGAGGCAGCAGUGGGGAAUUUUGGACAAUGGGGGCAACCCUGAUCCAGCAAUGCCGCGUGAGUGAAGAAGGCCUUCGGGUUGUAAAGCUCUUUUGUCAGGGAAGAAACAGCAGCUCUAACACAGUCUGCGAAUGACGGUACCUGAAGAAUAAGCACCGGCUAACUACGUGCCAGCAGCCGCGGUAA